rnacentral:rRNA from 1 species
UACGGGGGGGGCAAGCGUUGUUCGGAAUUACUGGGCGUAAAGGGCUCGUAGGCGGCCAACUAAGUCCGACGUGAAAAUCCCCAGGCUCAACUUGGGAACUGCGUCUGAUACUGGAUGGCUUGAAUUCGGGAGAGGGAUGCAGAAUUCCAGGUGUAGCGGUGAAAUGCGUAGAUAUCUGGAGGAAUACCGGUGGCGAAGGCGGCAUCCUGGACCGAGAUUGACACUGAUGAGCGGAAAGCUAGGGGAGCAAACGGG